ensembl:snRNA U6 U6 spliceosomal RNA
GCGCUAGCUUCAGCAGCACAUAUACUAAAAUUGGAAUGAUACAGAGAAGAUUAGCAUGCCUCCUGUGCAAGGAUGCCAUGAAAAUUCAUGAAUCAAUAUAUAUAUAU